GGCACGUGAAUCGGUUGCAGAAGCAUUCCUCCAAUGGCGUUCGCAGAUUGGUGAAGCUACUUGUGAGGAAGUGGAAGGAAAUUGUGGAUGAGUGGGUGAGGUUGAAUCAAUCGGGUGGAACAGCUUCUCUCAUGGCUGAUGGGGACUCUCCACAGCUGAAAAUCACCCAAAACGGGCAUCAUCAGAUGUAGGCGCCCCUUGAGUUGCUUUUUCCUCAAAAGAACGAGCAGCAAAUUGCUUUUUCCUCAGAUGAUGGUGAUAGAAAUGAUAAUGAUAGAGAUGACGGGGCUGAUAUUAAAAGAGAAGCUGGUAGUCAAGAGGGAACCCAGCAAGUUGCUGGAACAAAUGAAAAUGCAGCAGAUGGAUCUAACCCCCAGCCGAAGAAACUUGUUCCAAUUUUUCUUGCGUACUACUUGAAUAGCAUGAUGAGGUUCAAAAUUUUAAAUUUCUUAACCCUGUGCGUUUCUUCUUUUUCACAGUUUUGUACAGAAAUAUGAUCCCUAGUAACUUUACAAUGAGAUUAAAUGUGAAUCAGCAACUUUCACCGGAGUUGGAUCUCUUCAUGAAACAGAGGCUCCAAAAUUAUGAGUUAAAACGAAGCAAAAUCGCUUUUUGUGUUUUCAAAAUCACACAAAGGAACCUAUGAUGGAGAGUGUCCCUUCUACUGCUCUUACUCAGGCUAUAAUGAUGAACUUAUGUGGUUAGCAACAUGGUUAUACAUGGCUACGAGGAAGCCUGCGUAUUUGAAGUACAUACAAGAAGAAUCGAUAAGUGCUAGCGUAACAGAAUUUAAUUGGGAUCUUAAAUAUGCAGGAGCCCAAAUCCUUCUUACCAAGUUGAAGAUGGGUAUUUGCAACCAGGAUGCAGUCAAGCAGUUGCAAUCCAUGAUGGAAAAUGGUGUGUUCUUCACAACCUUCAAA